AGAAUCAACGCUGGCGGCGUGCCUAACACAUGCAAGUCGAGCGAGAAAGUGGAGCAAUCCAUGAGUAAAGUGGCGACCGGGUGAGUAACACGUGACUAACCUACCUUCGAGUGGGGGAUAACCUCGGGAAACCGGGCUAAUACCGCAUAAUAUCCACGGAUCAAAGGAGCAAUUCGCUUGAAGAGGGGGUCGCGGCUGAUUAGUUAGUUGGCGGGUAAUGGCCCACAAGACAAUGAUCGGUA
rnacentral:rRNA from 1 species